UACGUAGGGCGCAAGCGUUGUCCGGAAUUAUUGGGCGUAAAGAGCUCGUAGGCGGUCUGUUACGUCCGCUGUGAAAACCCAGGGCUUAACCCUGGGCUUGCAGUGGAUACGGGUAGACUAGAGGCAGGUAGGGGAGAAUGGAAUUCCUGGUGUAGCGGUGGAAUGCGCAGAUAUCAGGAGGAACACCGGUGGCGAAGGCGGGUCACUGGGCUGAUACUGACGCUGAUGCGCGAAAGCCAGGGGAGCGAACGGG
rnacentral:rRNA from 1 species